rnacentral:rRNA from 1 species
AACAAACGCUGGCGGCGUGCAUAACACAUGCAAGUCUAACGGGAAUGUCGGCUUCGGCUGACUAGUACCGUGGCGAACGGGUGAGUAACACGUGGGUAAUCUAACCUCGAGUUUGGGAUAACCUUGCGAAAGCGGGGCUAAUACCGAAUAAGACCACGCUUGGUUCGCCAAGUGCGGUAAAAGGCGGCCUCUUCUUGAAAGCUGUCACUUGAGGAUGAGCCCGCGGCCUAUUAGCUAGUUGGUGGGGUAAUGGCCUACCAAGGCGACGAUGGGUAGCCGGCCUGGGAGGGUGUACGGCCACACUGGCACUGAGAUACGGGCCAGACUCCUACGGGAGGCAGCAGUGGGGAAUUUUGCGCAAUGGGGGAAACCCUGACGUAGCAACGCCGCGUGAGUGAUGAAGGCCUUCGGGUCGUAAAGCUCUUUUAGUGGGGAAGAAUCCCACCCGGGCUAAUACCUCGGGUGUCUGACGGUACCCACAGAAAAAGUUCCGGCUAACUACGUGCCAGCCGCCGCCGUAAGAC